AGCGAACGUUAGCGGCGGGCCUAACACAUGCAAGUCGAGCGAGAAAGGGGCUUCGGCCCCGAGUAAAGCGGCGGACGGGUGAAUAUCGCGUAGGUAACCUGCCCUUCAGAGGGGGAUAACGGUCCGAAAGGACCGCUAAUACCGCGUAAGUGCCUCGGGGCUCCGGCCCUGGGGCGGAAAGCUAGGCAGCAAUGUCCAGCGCUGGAGGCGGGGCCUGCGUCGCAUCAGCUAGUUGGUGGGGUAACGGCCUACCAAGGCGAAGACGCGUAG
rnacentral:rRNA from 1 species